GAUCCUGGCUCAGAAUGAACGCUAGUAGUAUGCUUUACACAUGCAAGUCGAACGGUAACAGGUUAAGCUGACGAGUGGCGAACGGGUGAGUAAUGCAUCGGAACGUGCCCGAUCGUGGGGGAUAACGCAGCGAAAGCUGCGCUAAUACCGCAUACGUCCUGAGGGAGAAAGCGGGGGACCGAAAGGCCUCGCGCGAUUGGAGCGGCCGAUGUCGGAUUAGCUAGUUGGUAGGGUAAAGGCCUACCAAGGCGACGAUCCGUAGCGGGUCUGAGAGGAUGAUCCGCCACACUGGGACUGAGACACGGCCCAGACUCCUACGGGAGGCAGCAGUGGGGAAUUUUGGACAAUGGGCGCAAGCCUGAUCCAGCCAUGCCGCGUGAGUGAAGAAGGCCUUCGGGUUGUAAAGCUCUUUUGUCAGGGAAGAAACAGCAGCUCUAACACAGUCUGCGAAUGACGGUACCUGAAGAAUAAGCACCGGCUAACUACGUG
rnacentral:rRNA from 1 species